AUGUCCAAGCUAUGUCCGUCUUCUCAAAACACGGCCCAUGGACACUUUUCGGUCUCAGGGACACACACUCCUGCAGGCUGGUCUGCCCUCAGUCAGGCCCAGGGAUACAUGCCUGCAGGCUGGUCUGCCCUCCAGAAGACAGACCCAGCUCUAAACCCACAUGGGCCACGGGCUAGGCUUGGGGACAUUUGGUGGGGAAUGCCAGGUCCGAGGUACCUGGAACAUGGCCUAAAACCAAGUGUGAGCUUCAGCAUUGAUUCGCUCAAUGAUGCUACGGUUGGAGAUUUGCUGACAGAUCUGUUGGGAAGAAGAGGCCAUCAUUCUAGAAGCUUCCAGGCCACUGGCUGGCGCUAUCUUCACCCGGUGCCUCUGGAGGUGGUCGGUCAGCACAGGCUAGCUUAUGCCAUGGUAACAAGAGCAUCUCCGACUGCCAGGAGUUUGUCUCUCACUGACACUGUGCCCACCGAGGGUUGACGGGGGUCUCCUCACUGUGGUCACCCAGGGGCCCUUCCUGACAGGCAGCCCCAUCUCCGAUGCUGCCGGCCACCGUGGGAGAGGGAGAGUCUGGGAUCCGAGUGCCUGGGGAGGGGGGCGGGUCACAGAGAAGUUCCAUGAGCAGCGCUGCUGACCACCCAGAGGAUGCUUUUCAGGGUGUGGUCCAUCUGGUGAGGGUUAAGUGACCUCCGGGUGGAGCACGCCCCAAGGAAGGACGCGUGGAAACCACAAAAGGCACGUUGCACUGAAAGGGAGGGAGAGAGUGGCGCUGCCACCAGCUUCUGUGCCCAGGACCCUCCAGAGGUCUGCUGGGGUCCGCAGCACAUGGGCACGCGCCGUCCACCUUGGCUGGCUGGAGAGCAGGGAGUGGGGUGACCGAGACACCUAACCCCACAACACGGAGACAGCAAGUCUGCUCUGUUCCAACAAAUAGAAGGGACUCACAUUCGGUUAAGCCGGGUGACCGAGAGCAGCCAGGAAACACUCCGAGUUACCUGAUUCCCAGAAGAACAUGUGAAAAGUGGCUCGGCCAAAUCAGGUGGGAAAUCCACCCAUUCGAUCCGAUUAGGAGCCAUUUCUGGGGGGGAAAAUGUGUGAAAUAGAGGCCCAGACCCUCCCCCAGGGACCACAGACCAGUGUGAAACAGUCCUCGUCAGGAUAGCCCCCCACUGUGGGGGAGCCAUGCUGCACCCCACCCUCUUCCCAGCUGCUCUCCUCCUGCCGUCCUGCCCCAGCACGGGAGCCAGGGGAGCCCCUGUCCCGAAGGUCUUCCUAGUUUUUCUAAACAGGGAGGAAUCAGGUUUGCCAAAUUUAUCAAAUAAAACUAUAGGAAUUUGAAAUUUUGAAUUUCA
rnacentral:lncRNA from 1 species